GUGGGGAAUUUUGGACAAUGGGCGCAAGCCUGAUCCAGCAAUGCCGCGUGCAGGAAGAAGGCCUUCGGGUUGUAAACUGCUUUUGUACGGAACGAAACGGUCCGGGUUAAUACCCUGGGCUAAUGACGGUACCGUAAGAAUAAGCACCGGCUAACUACGUGCCAGCAGCCGCGGUAAUACGUAGGGUGCAAGCGUUAAUCGGAAUUACUGGGCGUAAAGCGUGCGCAGGCUGUUUUGUAAGACAGGCGUGAAAUCCCCGGGCUCAACCUGGGAAUUGCGCUUGUGACUGCAAGGCUGGAGUGCGGCAGAGGGGGAUGGAAUUCCGCGUGUAGCAGUGAAAUGCGUAGAUAUGCGGAGGAACACCGAUGGCGAAGGCAAUCCCCUGGGCCUGCACUGACGCUCAUGCACGAAAGCGUGGGGAGCAAACAGGAUUAGAAACCCGAGUAGUCC
rnacentral:rRNA from 1 species